CGAGUAACACGUGAGUGACCUGCCUUUUAGACUGGAACAACUUACCGAAAGGUGAGCUAAUGCCGGAUGAGUUAUAUAAGUGCAUGUUUAUAUAGGAAAAGUUGGGGAGACCUGACGCUGAAAGAUGGACUCGCGUCCCAUUAGCUAGUUGGUAGGGUAAUGGCCUACCAAGGCGACGAUGGGUAGCCGGCCUGAGAGGGUGGCCGGCCACACUGGGACUGAGACACGGCCCAGACUCCUACGGGAGGCAGCAG
rnacentral:rRNA from 1 species